rnacentral:rRNA from 1 species
AUUCCUACGGGACUCAGCAGUAUUGAAUCUUGCUCACUUGUUUAAACCCUGAAGCAGCAACGCCGCGUGGAGGAUGAAGGUUUUCGGAUUGUAAACUCCUUUUGUUAGAGAAGAUAAUGACGGUAUCUAACGAAUAAGCACCGGCUAACUCCGUGCCAGCAGCCGCGGUAAUACGGAGGGUGCAAGCGUUACUCGGAAUCACUGGGCGUAAAGAGCGCGUAGGCGGGAUAGCAAGUCAGAUGUGAAAUCCUAUGGCUUAACCAUAGAACUGCAUUUGAAACUGUUAUUCUAGAGUAUGGGAGAGG